rnacentral:rRNA from 1 species
AGUGAACGCUGGCGGUAGGCCUAACACAUGCAAGUCGAACGGCAGCACAGGAGAGCUUGCUCUCUGGGUGGCGAGUGGCGGACGGGUGAGGAAUACAUCGGAAUCUACUUUUUCGUGGGGGAUAACGUAGGGAAACUUACGCUAAUACCGCAUACGACCUACGGGUGAAAGCAGGGGACCUUCGGGCCUUGCGCGAUUGAAUGAGCCGAUGUCGGAUUAGCUAGUUGGCGGGGUAAAGGCCCACCAAGGCGACGAUCCGUAGCUGAUCUGAGAGGAUGAUCACACCCACUGGAACUGCGACACGGUCCAGACUCCUACGGGAGGCAGCAGUGGGGAAUAUUGGACAAUGGGCGCAAGCCUGAUCCAGCCAUACCGCGUGGGUGAAGAAGGCCUUCGGGUUGUAAAGCCCUUUUGUUGGGAAAGAAAUCCAGCUGGCUAAUACCCGGUUGGGAUGACGGUACCCAAAGAAUAAGCACCGGCUAACUGCGUGCCAGCCGCCGCAGUAA